rnacentral:rRNA from 1 species
GCGGCGCAUUAGGCAGUAGGCGGGGUAACGGCCCACCUAACCGACGAUGCGUAGGGGUUCUGAGAGGAAGGUCCCCCACACUGGUACUGAGACACGGACCAGACUCCUACGGAAGGCAGCAG